rnacentral:lncRNA from 10 species
CCAGAGUGUAAAAGUUAGGACUAGAUGGGAGGGCUCCUGACACCCAGUUCAUGACUCUCGGGGUACCACAACAGGUAAAUCAUCAUCAGAUAAAUCACAGCAUUUACAGACCAAAUUUGGUCCAUCCAUGAGUCUGGACUUCAGUCAUGGAAACAAUCAUAAAAAAAAGGAAGACAAAGGAUGAAAUAGCAUCUUUCCUUGCAGUCUCUUUGGGCAUCAGCUGUAAUCUGGAGGAGACUGACGGUCAAGUAGAGUGCCCUGCACCCCAAGACUGUCCUAAGGAAUAAAUGUGGCUGAAUAUAUUUGAAUCUUGAAGACCUGUCAAAAGAAAUUGGGCAAAGACACUGACAGGAGUGCAUCAAAAGGAUCCCACUGAUAAAUUUAGACUUUGUUUUAAGUCAUCUCGGUGCGUUGUGUCAUAUUCUUUAGAUAUGAAGGCUGAGCAAAUAAAGCAACUCC